rnacentral:lncRNA from 1 species
GAGAAGCAGAACAAGGUGGUGAUCACGGACAGGAUGUGGGCGAGGGUGCUGUGCUCGACGAACCAGCCAUGCUUCCUGAGCCACGAGGACGUCGAGCACCUCAAGCACGACGACGACGAGCACCACCUGCACAACACGCAGCUCCUCGAAGGCGAGAGCUCGCCGGUGAAGGACUCCUCCAAGUGCAACGGGACAGCAGCGCCAGUGUGAGAACCAACGAGAA